rnacentral:misc_RNA from 1 species
CUGACCACGUUGCCUCUUACGGUGUAAACUUGUACCAGUCUUACGGUCCCUCUGGCCAGUUCACCCAUGAAUUUGAUGGAGACGAGGAGUUCUAUGUGGACCUGGAGAGGAAGGAGACUGUCUGGAAGUUGCCUCUGUUCCACAGACUUAGAUUUGACCCGCAAUUUGCACUGACAAACAUCGCUGUGCUAAAACAUAACUUGAACAUCCUGAUUAAACGCUCCAACUCUACCGCUGCUACCAAUGAGGUUCCUGAGGUCACAGUGUUUUCCAAGUCUCCCGUGACACUGGGUCAGCCCAACACCCUCAUCUGUCUUGUGGACAACAUCUUUCCUCCUGUGGUCAACAUCACCUGGCUGAGCAAUGGGCACUCAGUCACAGAAGGUGUUUCUGAGACCAGCUUCCUCUCCAAGAGUGAUCAUUCCUUCUUCAAGAUCAGUUACCUCACCUUCCUCCCUUCUGCUGAUGAGAUUUAUGACUGCAAGGUGGAGCACUGGGGCCUGGAUGAGCCUCUUCUGAAACACUGGGGUGUUACCUACUAAGAGAUGCCUGGGGUAAGCCGCCCAGCUACCUAAUUCCUCAGUAACAUCGAUCUAAAAUCUCCAUGGAAGCAAUAAAUUCCCUUUAAGAGAUCUAUGUCAAA